AGGAGGAGAGAAGCUGCAGAGAGGCGUGUAAGACUGCAACUCUGCUUCCUGGUCCCAACUCUGGAUAGUCAUAUUUUGGGGGGUUUAAUAAACUACUACUCCAUGAUGUAGAGCUGAAGUAUUACACAGCUUUAUGAACCUCCUGUUAUCCUGGUAGACGAGUACAGCAAUAAAUCUUUUACUUGAACAUCUUCUGGCUCCAAUAAGCUUUGAAAUGUGACCAUGAAGUUAGAGACACACUGACUGAAACCCACAGCUGUGACUGUGGAUCCACACACAGUGUAGCUGCUGUCUCUGUGUGAGGUCUGUGUAUAUAUGUAUAUAUUUAUGCUUAUAUUCAUAUUCUCUUAUUCCCUUUAUUUGAUAUCCUAAUUCUGUGCUGUGUAAAAAUUUGUCGGUGUUCUGCUGCUACAAACUGGAUUUCCUGGAGGAUAAACAUGAGGGAUUCAUAAAGUUCUAUCUCUCUGUUAAAAUCCCCCAAAAUAAAUGAAAUGUGACUUUCAGGCAGACAUGUUUUUAAAAGAGUCUCUUUAAUGGAAAAAUGUGUUUUUAAAACCAGCCAAUAGGAGCGUCUGUGGAUAUCAGCUGAGGCUGAACGCAGGAACACCAUCACAUAUAAAUACACAGAAUUAAAUCACUAGAUAAAAGACGUCAUUAAAUAAGGAUCGAAUCAACAUGUCAGAGGUCAAAGGUCAGUCAGAAGAGGUGUGGUUAAACACUGGCAGUGCAGCGACCUAAUGCAGUUUGGUUACCGCCACGGGAAAAGCCCCGCCCCCUCUGAGCCUCUGCUGUGUCCUCAGCACAUCCAGGAGCAGCAGGUCAGAGGGGGCGGGGCCAUGUCAGGACUUAUUUUAAGUAAAAUUUAAAGUGGAGCGACGGCAGGAGUCACACAGCAGUAACCAGCUCUGUCUGCCAGGGUCAAAGGUCAAACAAGUCCUGCAGCUGACCCACACACAGACUUACACUGAUCCACAGAGAGUGAUGAAUCCACACAUCACUCGGCUGGAGGAAGCUGGGUUUCCACACCGUCCAAUCAGAAACCAGUGUUGACGCUGAGACCCGUCUCUGUAACAGGAAGUCCAUGAACAGGCAGACCCUCUGCAGCAGGCUGACCUGUGACCUCUGAGACAGAGGGAGGAGUUUGUGUCAGCAGGGGGCGCUGCAGCAUCGCCUGAGCGCUUUAAGAACAACAGCAA